AGCCUUAUAUUCAAAAAUGAUAUAAAAUUGCAAAUUUUAAGGAAAAAUUAUUUAUUUUUAAGGCUU
rnacentral:tRNA from 1 species